GCCACCAUGGCACAGUGGUUUGAGUAUUAGACUAUGACUGUAGAGAUUAGGGUUUGAAUCCCAGCUUGGCCAUG